UUUUUCGAAGUUGGAUGUUGUAUCUUGGAUACCAUUUCUCAUUUUUGUUAUUGGAUUGGCAUUAUGAAUGCAGAUGGAAGGACAAUCCAGUAAUACAAGAUUCGUGAAUUCCCAAUGCUUUCAGACAACCGAACAAGCUGUAGUUGUUCAUCAGCCAAGCAAAAGUCAUACCUAAAUCUUGCGUUGUGACUUUGUAUUAUUUGUGGAACCUAAUGUUGUGUAAUAGUUUGAUUGAGUUUGUUUUGAAAACUUUAAAUAGUAAACAUGUGAGAUUGAUUGUUUGAUUGAGUU